rnacentral:rRNA from 1 species
GAUGAACGCUAGCGGCAGGCCUAACGCAUGCAAGUCGAGGGGGAAGUUACUUUCGGGUGACUGAGACCGGCGUACGGGUGCGUAACGCGUAUACAAUCUGCCUUUCACUGGGGGGUAGCCCGAAGAAAUUUGGAUUAAUACCCCAUAGUAUAUAGGGACGGCAUCGUUUUUAUAUUAAAGCUUAGGUGGUGAAAGAUGAGUAUGCGUUCUAUUAGCUAGUUGGAGAGGUAACGGCUCCCCAAGGCGAUGAUAGAUAGGGGUUCUGAGAGGGAUGUCCCCCACACUGGUACUGAGAUACGGACCAGACUCCUACGGGAGGCAGCAGUGAGGAAUAUUGGACAAUGGUCGGAAGACUGAUCCAGCCAUGCCGCGUGCAGGAGGAAGGUCUUAUGGAUUGUAAACUGCUUUUGUAAGGGAAGAAUAAGGGCUACGCGUAGUUUGAUGACGGUACCUUACGAAUAAGCAUCGGCUAACUCCGUG